UACGUAGGUGGCAAGCGUUUGUCCGGAUUUAUUGGGUUUAAAGGGUGCGUAGGCGGCUUUGUAAGUCAGUGGUGAAAUAUGGCAGCUCAACUGUCAAGGUGCCAUUGAUACUGCGGAGCUUUGAGUACAGAUGAGGUAGGCGGAAUUGACGGUGUAGCGGUGAAAUGCUUAGAUAUCGUCAAGAACACCUAUAGCGAAGGC
rnacentral:rRNA from 1 species